rnacentral:rRNA from 1 species
AGCUAGAGUCUUGUAGAGGGGGGUAGAAUUCCAUGUGUAGCGGUGAAAUGCGUAGAGAUGUGGAGGAAUACCGGUGGCGAAGGCGGCCCCCUGGACAAGACUGACGCUCAGGUGCGAAAGCGUGGGGAGCAAACGGGAUUAGAUACCCUGGUAGUCCACGCUGUAAACGAUGUCGAUUUGAAGGUUGUUCCCUUGAGGAGUGGCUUUCGGAGCUAACGCGUUAAAUCGACCGCCUGGGGAGUACGGCCGCAAGGUUAAAACUCAAAUGAAUUGACGGGGGCCCGCACAAGCGGUGGAGCAUGUGGUUUAAUUCGAUGCAACGCGAAGAACCUUACCUACUCUUGACAUCCAGAGAACUUAGCAGAGAUGCUUUGGUGCCUUCGGGAACUCUGAGACAGGUGCUGCAUGGCUGUCGUCAGCUCGUGUUGUGAAAUGUUGGGUUAAGUCCCGCAACGAGCGCAACCCUUAUCCUUUGUUGCCAGCGAUUCGGUCGGGAACUCAAAGGAGACUGCCGGUGAUAAACCGGAGGAAGGUGGGGAUGACGUCAAGUCAUCAUGGCCCUUACGAGUAGGGCUACACACGUGCUACAAUGGCGUAUACAAAGAGAAGCGACCUCGCGAGAGCAAGCGGAACUCAUAAAGUACGUCGUAGUCCGGAUUGGAGUCUGCAACUCGACUCCAUGAAGUCGGAAUCGCUAGUAAUCGUAGAUCAGAAUGCUACGGUGAAUACGUUCCCGGGCCUUGUACACACCGCCCGUCACACCAUGGGAGUGGGUUGCAAAAGAAGUAGGUAGCUUAACCUUCGGGAGGGCGCUUACCACUUUGUGAUUCAUGACUGGGGUGAAGUCGUAACAAGGUAACCA